UGGGGAAUCUUGCGCAAUGGGCGAAAGCCUGACGCAGCCAUGCCGCGUGAAUGAUGAAGGUCUUAGGAUUGUAAAAUUCUUUCACCGGGGACGAUAAUGACGGUACCCGGAGAAGAAGCCCCGGCUAACUUCGUGCCAGCAGCCGCGGUAAUACGAAGGGGGCUAGCGUUGCUCGGAAUUACUGGGCGUAAAGGGAGCGUAGGCGGAUAGUUUAGUCAGAGGUGAAAGCCCAGGGCUCAACCUUGGAAUUGCCCUUGAUACUGGCUAUCUUGAGUACGGAAGAGGUAUGUGGAACUCCGAGUGUAGAGGUGAAAUUCGUAGAUAUUCGGAAGAACACCAGUGGCGAAGGCGACAUACUGGUCCGUUACUGACGCUGAGGCUCGAAAGCGUGGGGAGCAAACAGGAUUAGAUACCCAGGUAGUCCCUGAGCGGGCUGGCAAGGCGCAU
rnacentral:rRNA from 1 species